AAUGGAUAUCUUGGCUCUCGUGUCGAUGAAGAACGUAGCGAAAUGCGACACUUGGUGUGAAUUGCAGAAUCCCGUGAACCAUCGAGUCUUUGAAUGCAAGUUGCGCUCGAGGCCGUU
rnacentral:rRNA from 1 species